rnacentral:lncRNA from 1 species
UGUUUUUAAAUGGCACAUCCCUACCUUCUGGCCACAUAAAAGUGGGGCAGGCUCAUCUUGUGUAUUUCCUGCCCCCGUCCUGGAAUCAGACAUCUUUCUAAGGAUUCUCGAUUCUUUGUUGGCGAUUAGUAUUAGAAACCAAGACCUUCAUGCUUGGUGAGUAUGCGACUAACUUUUACAAAGAUAGUCUAUAGAAUUGUUCAUUAACUUUUUUUCCCUUUUUUUUUUUUUUUUUUUUUUUUGGAUUUUUAGGGCUGCACCUGCGGCAUAUGGAAGUUUCCAGGCUAGGGGUCGAAUCUGAGCUUCAUUCAGCGGCUGGCCUACGUCACAGCCACUGUAACGUGGCAUCCGAGCCGCGUCUGCAACCUACACUACAGCUCACAGCUACGCCAGAUCCUUAACCCACUGAGCAAGGCCAGGGAUCAAACCUGCGUCCUCAUGGAUGGGAGUCUGAUUCAUUUCCGCUGAGCUAUGACGGGAACGCCCUCAUUAACUUUCUCAAAAGCAAAUGCGAGUGCUAUUUUAGCUUUGUGCAGCUCCCACCCUUCCUCUUCUCCUGUAUUAUUCGUCCCAUUUCACAAUAUUCCUAGAUGACCACUGUAUUCUUUCUUCACUCUAGUCAGCGGAGGACAUGCAGAUGCCCUUCGGUUCAGGUUGUCCAAUGUCAAGACUAGCAAGGUUAGAACAAAACCACAUACAAAAAGCAUCCUACGCAUCUGAAAUGUGAAUCACCAUUCCCACGCUGAUGCGUGCACUCUCUUGGUUGAAUAUGACCUCUGGAGAGAGGUUAUCUUUUGCUGCUAUAUAUGACAAAAUCAGUCAUAAAUAAAACUCCUAAGGAAUUAAAUGUAGAACCUUUAGAUCACCUAGAUCACUACUGCUUGAUAAUAAUGGCACAGAGGAUUGAGAAUUGAGGAUAAAAAUAAGAUUCUAAAAGGAGGGGGAGCUGAAACUUCCAGCCACUGUUAUGCUCCCCCCCCUUUUUUUUUCAAAAAAAGCACAGAGUAAUUCAUCGUGCUAAAUGAUCUGCGCUAGUUUGAAGAAAAGAGGAUGCCCCAGCAAAAAAUAAAAAUAAAAAAAGAAAAUCAUGUGUUUAUUAUUGUUUACUCCCACAUCAACUAUAGUUCUGUCAUCAUCUCCCAUCCCUGGCUAGCUGGAAAGCUAAAUUUUGUUGAUGCUAGCUUUUUGGCUAAUGAACAUAGGUCUGAUGUUCUCUUAAUUCUGAUAUCAGUUAUAAAUUCAGUUGAAUCCAUGACAAUCAGGCCCAAAUUAUACUUAGAUCUGUUAAAGAUGGAGCACCCAGCCUAUAAAUAGCAAUGACAUUUUCAAAGAAAAUAGAGCUCUUCAAGCAGCAUUACAAUUUUUUUUUCUUAGUGAAAAUGACUGCUAUGGACCAGGUGCUUUACAUAAAUAUGAAUUAUUUUAUUGAGUUCUCUGUGGUCGUCCUGAAUCAAGCACUCUAAAUUCCAUUCUAAAAAUGAAGUUUAAGUGAUUUGUCCACUCAUCCAUGAACAUGCAGCAGAGUCCAGAUUGAAAGACUUUUUUUUUUUUCCCCUAAAAUUCCCAGAGAGUGUAGACCCCGUCUGUGUAUUUCAGUAUUCCAGCAGGAAACCCAACCUGCAGAUUAGGGUAAUCCAUGGAAGAGUUAAAAAUAGACUCCCAAAGGCACAGGGAGGCAGUAAGGAGACCACAAAGGCACUGCCCCAGGCGGGGCACUGCAGAGUUGAACCACGGGUUAUGACCAGCCAGAGGCAACCCACCCACCCUGCCCUCCACCCACAGCAAAGGAGUCAGGGUGAGAGACACUGUCUUUAUGUUCAUCCUGCCACCCGAUACCCUGAUUAGGUCCUCUGUGGGCCAACUCCAACCAAAAGGUAUAGAUGGGGGGUGGUCCUUCAUGUUCUGCCUACAAGAGCAGAGAGCAGGAUGGGAGUGGUGGGCAGUGCUUGAGAAGAGGCAAACAGAAUAGUUCAUCAAAUGCUUGAUCAUAAAACCGACAUAGGCUCCACAUUCAUUUAAAUAUGCUGAAUGUUUACUCUCUUGAAAACAAACUUGAAAGGCAGCAGCAAAAGACCUUUGCACUGACUCUUUCUAAAUGGGUAAGAAUCAGAGGUGAGUUCGUUCAUGGGGGAAGGAAAAAAAAAAAUCCCUAGGAAAAACACAGAAACAACGUGGGAAACUUUGCUGCUUGACAUGGUGAAGCCAAAGCAAUGCCCUGUAGUCCUCGAGUUUCAUUUUGCUUUGUUUUGAAGUUAGGACUCUCCAGGCAUCCCUUGCUGCUAGGUGAAGCAAUGCUGAGUCAUGAGAAGUUAUUCGAGAAGUUACUCCUGAAGAACUGUGGCUCUAGCUCUGUUACUGUGUGGUCCAGCGUGCUUAGGGAAGUGAUUUAAUAGCCUAGUUUCUUUCUCUCACUCUGCUACAAUACCUAUACCUAAGGCCACAUACGCAAUUAUUUAUCAAGCUAAUAAUAUUACAUCAGAUCAGCACACUUCUCUGUUCAUUUUAACAGAUUUUAAUCAGGAAAUCCAUUUCUCUGUUCAUCUUAACAGAUUGUUAUUGUUUUUAUUUUCAUUGUCUUGUUUUCCAGUGUAAAUUGUCUAAAAUACUUAGAAAUAUACAAGGAAAAGGUCCUCGAUAGAUACAAAUAAAGAUUUAAGCUUUUGCAAUUCAAUAACCCAAUAAUCAAUAAUCUUUUUUUUUUUUUUGUCUUUUGUCCUUUUAGGGCCACACCCAUAGCAUACGGAGGUUCCCAGGUGUGCCUCUGAAAAGCAAAAGUAAAAUGAAAUAAAAAAUGUUUAAAAAGGCUAUAAUAUCAAGUACAUAAAUAAUGUCCAAGUAAGUAGAACUAUAGUAGCUGCUUUGAAAGAAACAAAUCAGAUUUUUGAUUAAAAAAUAAUGAGAGGGCAGUCUACGGUAUUUAGGGUGGCUAAUAAAGGCCUCUCUGAAGUUUAAGCUGAGACCUGAAUGAGCAGCCAACCAAGAAAAACAGCCCCUUGGAGAGAAAAGGUGGAUCUAAGCGUAGGGAGCCUCAGUUUUAAAACAUUCUGGUGGUGUAUGUAGGAGCCACUGGGAGGCCGGUGUAGCCGGAAUGUAUGUCACAGGGAGAGUGGCCCAAGAUGAGGUUAGAGGUGGACCUUGUCACGCUGAGUCUAUAGGUCACGGUGGGGAACGUGGACCAUUCCAAGCAGGGAAGGGACAGGAUCUGUUCCAGGCAAGGAGCCCUGGGGGAUCCUCGGACCCUUGCUCUUGGCAGGGACCGAACAGUACGUGUUGGUUUGUUUUAAUGGCUAUUUGGUGGAGAAUGCAUUUGAGUGGACAAGAGACAUUUUAGGAGACCCUCGCCGUACUCCAAGCGGUGGUGGCUUGUGCCCUAGUAAUAGCCAUGGACGUGAAGAGAAGUCAAAGGAUGCGAAACAUACUUGAGGAGCGGAACUGAUAAGACUGCAAAUGAACUGAAUGUGCGUAAUGAGGAAAAGUGGAAGCCAGCCAAAUAUUAGACGACUGGCAUUGCCACUUACUGAGCUAGGGAAGGAUGAAGAGGGAACUGGUGAUGGCGGGCGAGGGCAUAUAGAGUUACUUUUGGGACAGUUUAAGUUUGAGAUGCUUCCGAACCAUGAGUCGGUUUCUGAGUCUGUCUAUCAAGGGAGAGGGCGGAGGCAGGAAUUCAGAGGAAGAGGUUGGCCCUGGUGGAACAGCUGAAACUCUAGCUGGGUAUUUAAGGAAGAGAAGAAUUUAGAGAAUUAGGGGAGGAAGAAGCCACUCAGGGUACUGAGAGCUAGAGGUUGAUCUAACUGGAACAACAAAUAAUAAGCUUAGCUGCUUAGAGAUUUCUUGUAGGAAAAUGUUGAAAAGAACAUGUUGGAGAAAUAAGUAGGAGCCAGAUUGAGAGGAAUUUAAAUUCAAGCUAAUGUGGUUCUUUGUUUUGCUUAAUUUUAGGGAGCCCUCAAGGGUAAGUGGGUAGAGACGUGGAGAGGUAGGUGUUGUGUGACUGCGGGGUGUCAUUAAAACGACGUGUCAGUUUUGGAGGCAGGGAAAACCUUCGGCUGAUGUGAUCUCUUGGGAUAUCACUGCGAUAAUUGUGGUGUGAACGGAUGAAAGUUUGGGCUGAGACGAGGACAGAAACAGGAAGGAAGAGAAGGAUAAGUAACAUGAAAAAUAGCUGGUGCCUGAGACAUCAAGGGGGGAGGAGAAACAGAGGAAAUGAUUGGGUUACCACUAUGGAUGGGUUUUUUUUUUUUUCCUUCCUUAACCAACCAGGACACAUUGGCAACAUCUCCAAGCAGCGCACAGACCUGUGCCUUGCACUAUACUUUUGUUUCCAUGUGGCUGGCAUGGAUCUACAAGGCAACAGUGGGAGACAUCAGACAGAGCUAGUGAUUGCUGGGCCAGAGAAGGUCCAGCAUAGAAAUAAGGAAUGCUGAAGGAUAAGAUUAAUAUCUGCAAAAUCUACACUCUGAGCAAAGAAAUAUGCACAAUGAAAUAUGUCAUGCACUUCCCUUCUCCCCCAUAGCAUAGCAAUUGCUAUUUUCCGGUUCAAUUUCACACGAGGCCUUUUCUUUCAUGGGAAGGGGACAGUUACCAAGAAGUAAAUUUUGCAAAAGUACACAAAAUAAACAAUGGAAAAAAUAUUGUCACCAGCAGACGCUAGCUGAAUGACAAGACAGAUUGUCAGUUUUACUUCUGAUUUUGACGUUCUUGUUUUUGUUAUAUUGUUCAAACAGUACCUGGCCUAGGGCAGUUCUUUCCCUUUUGUGUCCUGGUUUUACCAUCCACAAAAGGGAAUCACCUGAUCUAGGGAGGUGCCAGCGAGUUGUAUUUGAGUGUAUAUGUGUGCAUGCAGAAUAAUACAUAUUCUUAUAAGGAACUUAGAAAAUAUAGAAGAAUAAAAUAGACAGUAAAUACUGACAAAUGGGACUGAGCAAAACAAUAUUAAACAUAAUGCAUCCUUUCCAAAGCAUCAUAUUCCAACCAGCAAGGAAAGAUUUAAUGGUAGUAAUAAGUGACUUGCUCACACACUAUGACGGGUAGGAAGAGUGGCCCUCAUGAUUCAUUUUAAUAACAAAUGAAAAGAUAGGAUGGAUGCACACCACUGCCUUCCAUGGUGCCCACCUUCAUUCCACUGGUGACUGACAAAUUAUUCUGUAGCGCACCUAGGAAACAAUAUCAAACCCACUCCUAAUCAUUCAUCACGCGAUGGCUGUCCUGUCCGCGGGAACUCCAGUUAUAUUUAAUGCCCACUUGCCUUCAGUAAUUGCUGCUUCAUUCAGAGUGAAGUUAUCUAUUCUGGGUUUUGCAGAGACACCUGCAAUAAAAGCCUCCAGUUCUGGUCCUUCCAGAUUGUUAUGCGGGGGAUUCUGCCAUAAUGGAUCCUGCAAUAAAUGGGUGAAGAGCUGUCCUGGCUAAGGGGGCUGACAAGUUUAUUAUUAAACCGUAAUGAAGAGAUGUCGCAAAAAUCUCACGUGUACUUAAUGUCUGGUCUCGGGAGAGAGGAUCUCUGUAAAUUGCAGUUCCCCCUUGGCAUCGUCCGUGUUUUCUCUGGAUCCUGUAUCAACGAGCCCUCGUGGGGUCCCACAUUUCAGCAAAUCGCCCUGCUUCCCCCCACCUCUCUACACACUUUUUAUAUUCUCCAUAAAUAGCACCUGGUCCUGCAAUUCAUCUUCCACGCCUCAUUCAUUCUAAAUCUCAGCUUCUUGGCCCUGCUUCUGCCGUAUUAAAAUACUUCCCAAGGCAAGCUCAUGUUGAAAAAGAAAAUCAAUGGUUCUGAUUCAUCUGAUAUGAGCUUCUGGGUGUUUGGAUAAUUUAUUGUUCACUCUCAGGCAAUACCCCUGUGAUACCAUCAUUAAAUAUUAAAGGCGGUUUAAGGGCACUCUGCUUAUCAG